UACGUAGGGUGCGAGCGUUUAAUCGGAAUUACUGGGCGUAAAGCGCACGUAGGUGGCGACGUAAGUCGGGUGUGAAAGCCCCGGGCUCAACCUGGGAAUUGCAUUCGAGACUGCAUUGCUGGAGUACGGAAGAGGAGAGUGGAAUUCCCGGUGUAGCGGUGAAAUGCGCAGAUAUCAGGAGGAACACCGGUGGCGAAGGCGGUUCUCUGGGACGUACUGAUCCUGACUGGAG
rnacentral:rRNA from 1 species